UACGUAGGGUGCGAGCGUUAAUCGGAAUUAUUGGGCGUAAAGGGUGCGUAGGCGGUUUGGUAAGUCUCUUGUGAAAUCUAUGGGCUCAACUCAUAGUCUGCAAGGGAAACUGCCGGGCUUGAGUGUGGGAGAGGUGAGUGGAAUUUCCGGUGUAGCGGUGAAAUGCGUAGAUAUCGGAAGGAACACCUGUGGCGAAAGCGGCUCACUGGACCACAACUGACGCUGAUGCACGAAAGCUAGGGGAGCAAACAGG
rnacentral:rRNA from 1 species